ACGAACCCCACGACGACGUCUUGAAAUCCUGGAUUUAGCAGAAAAAUACAGUCUUGCGAUCAUUUGUGAUUCAUUUGUUUGCAAAGUUGCUUUUCUGCUGAACGCGGCCUAUGAGAAACGCCCUGUUUCAAUCACGAUGGAAGAAAACCAUGCGUUGAAUGGCAUUUCCGUUGAUGCGCAUUUCUUGUCAAGAAACGCUUUCGGAUCUAAAUGACGGGCACAUUAUGAACCUACCUCGUCGAGAUAAAGAUGAUAAGCAAUUAUCAUUUUUAGCAAUUAUCUGGCGAUAAAGGCAGAUAAUUGUUUCUUAUCGAUUACUUUUGAAUUAAAUUAAGUUUUGUAUGACUAUUUCCUAUAUGACUGUUUUCAAAUAAAUUUUCAUUCACGGA